CCGUAAUCACUAGGGCGCCAAUCAUCGUAUGGAAAAAAAGUGACCAGAAAUUUUAAAAAAAAAACCCUAUACAAAAUGUUCGAAAAAACAGCUCGAAAAAACACCCUGUACAAAAUUUCAGCUCAAUCGGACUUAAAAUGGGGUGGCGCAAAGCGAUUGAAGUUUGGUCUUUUUGAAAACAGAAAAAUCACCCAAGGGGGGGGGGGUACGUGAAAUUUCGGUUUUCGAAAAAAUUUUUUUGAUGCCAAAUGACCUAAAAACGCAUGAAACGUCGAGAAUUGGUGUCAUCCGAAUUUUUUUUUUUUUUUGCAAGAAUUUACUCUCUGGGACUCAGUCGUUUUUUCAAUUGUGGAAGGCGGAGUUCAAAAUGUUUAGAAUUUAUCUUUUGAAAUUGAUCACUAGUCUCUCGAAAUAGCUUGUAUAAUGAUAUACACUAUAACUAGCAUCGAAUACAUGAGGUUUCAUUAGGGUGGUUCAUUAAUUCGACAUAGGGUGUGUAACGGGGUUACAAAAAUACAUCUAUGCUUAAGGAUAUGGCAGGAAAGACCCAAAAAAAUGAAGUCGGUACAAACGGUUAUUUUUAAAUUCAAAUUGUCGGAGUAAAUGGUUAAUACCCCUUAAGCUCUCUAGGGUGAAAAAACGCAGUCGCUCAAUAAAAGAUUUUAUUCAGCAACGCAUGAAAUGUUCUCGACCAAUCAACAACGGACACGAGUUUCGUGGAUAAAAGCUAAAAAGCUAUGUAAAAAAAAAUAAAAGCUUAUUGUGAGACAUUUCCGUUUGAGUCGCACGUUAAAACAGUUCACAGUCCGAUCCUGUAAAACGGACAGAGUACCAGAAAAAUUAAUGUAACAUAGAAGAUUGAGAGUGCUGAAAAACAUCACAAAAAAAAGCAGUUAGAGAAGAAGAGAAAAAAAAAUCGAAAAGCGUGAAGAAUUUGUUAACGGGGAAAAGAUCUCGAAUAGUCCAGGUAUCCUUCGAACGAAGGAUUCGGUUGAGGCUUACAAAAUCACGGCAGCCGCCCGCUCCCUUCACGUGCAAUUCGUGUUCCUAACCUCGCAAUCUGGUUAGAUCGGAAGAACUACCGGGUGACGUGUAGUUGACAAGAUCUUGGAGACGGAAUAAAGCAAAAUUGUCAAACCCGGGCUGUUCAGUAAAAAAAAUCAACCAACGUGACGACCAGUGUCGUGGGAAGCUAUACUACGGGUACUGCCAGUCUCCCGCCCGCAGCCAGAUAUAGAUUGUCGCAUCUGUGCGCCCCCCGACCGCAUCAAGUGGCUUCAUCGACCACCCACGGCUGUACCUACGCGCAUCGCCAACAUCGUUCACCCGAAUCCCGCUAGCUUGGAUGAACCAGCAUCACCCCACGUCGAAACGAAG